GUCGAGCGAACGGACGAGAAGCUUGCUUCUCUGAUGUUAGCGGCGGACGGGUGAGUAACACGUGGAUAACCUACCUAUAAGACUGGGAUAACUUCGGGAAACCGGAGCUAAUACCGGAUAAUAUUUUGAACCGCAUGGUUCAAAAGUGAAAGACGGUCUUGCUGUCACUUAUAGAUGGAUCCGCGCUGCAUUAGCUAGUUGGUAAGGUAACGGCUUACCAAGGCAACGAUGCAUAGCCGACCUGAGAGGGUGAUCGGCCACACUGGAACUGAGACACGGUCCAGACUCCUACGGGAGGCAGCAGUAGGGAAUCUUCCGUAAUGGGCGAAAGCCUGACGGAGCAACGCCGCGUGAGUGAUGAAGGUCUUCGGAUCGUAAAACUCUGUUAUUAGGGAAGAACAUAUGUGUAAGUAACUGUGCACAUCUUGACGGUACCUAAUCAGAAAGCCACGGCUAACUACGUGCCAGCAGCCGCGGUAAUACGUAGGUGGCAAGCGUUAUCCGGAAUUAUUGGGCGUAAAGCGCGCGUAGGCGGUUUUUUAAGUCUGAUGUGAAAGCCCACGGCUCAACCGUGGAGGGUCAUUGGAAACUGGAAAACUUGAGUGCAGAAGAGGAAAGUGGAAUUCCAUGUGUAGCGGUGAAAUGCGCAGAGAUAUGGAGGAACACCAGUGGCGAAGGCGACUUUCUGGUCUGUAACUGACGCUGAUGUGCGAAAGCGUG
rnacentral:rRNA from 1 species